AUUGAACGCUGGCGGCAGGCUUAACACAUGCAAGUCGAGCGGAGAUGAGGUGCUUGCACCUUAUCUUAGCGGCGGACGGGUGAGUAAUGCUUAGGAAUCUGCCUAUUAGUGGGGGACAACAUUCCGAAAGGAAUGCUAAUACCGCAUACGUCCUACGGGAGAAAGCAGGGGAUCUUCGGACCUUGCGCUAAUAGAUGAGCCUAAGUCGGAUUAGCUAGUUGGUGGGGUAAAGGCCUACCAAGGCGACGAUCGUUAGCGGGUCUGAGAGGAUGAGCCGCCACACUGGGACUGAGAAACGGCCCAGACUCCUACGGGAGGCAGCAGUGGGGAAUAUUGGACAAUGGGGGGAACCCUGAUCCAGCCAUGCCGCGUGUGUGAAGAAGGCCUUAUGGUUGUAAAGCACUUUAAGCGAGGAGGAGGCUACUGAGACUAAUACUCUUGGAUAGUGGACGCUACUCGCAGAAUAAGCACCGGCUAACUCUGUGCCAGCCGCCGCAGUAA
rnacentral:rRNA from 1 species